UAACGAAUCUUCCGCAAUGGGCGAAAGCCUGACGGAGCAAUGCCGCGUGUGGGAUGAAGCGCCUUCGGCGUGUAAACCACUGUCAGGGAAUGGAACCAAUGAUUAUUCCCAAAGGAAGUGGCGACUAACUCUGUGCCAGCAGUCGCGGUAAUACAGAGGCCACAAGCGUUAGUCGGAAUCACUGGGCUUAAAGGGUGCGUAGGCGGGCCCGCAAGCGUCUUGUGAAAUCCCAUGGCUCAACCAUGGAAUUGCAGGGCGAACUGCGGGUCUUGAGGCAGGUAGGGGCCGGAAGAACAGUAGGUGGAGCGGUGAAAUGCGUAGAUAUUAGGAGGAACACCGAAGGCGAAGGCAGCUUGCUGGACGAGAUCUGACGCUGAAGCACGAAAGCGUGGGGAGCAAACAGGAUUAGAUACCCCAGUAGUCCCUGAGCGGGCUGGCAAGGCGCAU
rnacentral:rRNA from 1 species